GUCUUCGAGUCGUUGAUUUCACACUGCCGAGAAAAGCCUCUAGAUAGAAAAUAGGUGCCCGUACCGCAAACCGACACAGGUAGUCAAGAUGAGAAUUCUAAGGUGAGCGAGCGAACUCUCGUUAAGGAACUCGGCAAAAUGACCCCGUAACUUCGGGAGAAGGGGUGCUCUUUAGGGUUAACGCCCAGAAGAGCCGCAGUGAAUAGGCCCAAGCGACUGUUUAUCAAAAACACAGGUCUCUGCUAAACCGUAAGGUGAUGUAUAGGGGCUGACGCCUGCCCGGUGCUGGAAGGUUAAGAGGAGUGGUUAGCUUCUGCGAAGCUACGAAUCGAAGCCCCAGUAAACGGCGGCCGUAACUAUAACGGUCCUAAGGUAGCGAAAUUCCUUGUCGGGUAAGUUCCGACCCGCACGAAAGGCGUAACGAUUUGGGCACUGUCUCAACGAGAGACUCGGUGAAAUCAUAGUACCUGUGAAGAUGCAGGUUACCCGCGACAGGACGGAAAGACCCCGUGGAGCUUUACUGUAGCCUGAUAUUGAAAUUCGGCACAGCUUGUACAGGAUAGGUAGGAGCCUUUGAAACGUGAGCGCUAGCUUACGUGGAGGCGCUGGUGGGAUACUACCCUA
rnacentral:rRNA from 1 species